CUACGGGCUGCUCCAGUGAGGAAUUUUGCGCAAUGGGCGAAAGCCUGACGCAGCAACGCCGCGUGAGUGAAGAAGGCCUUUGGGUCGUAAAGCUCUGUCAACGGGGAAGAAGUUAAUAUAUGUUAACAGCGUAUAUUAUUGACGGUACCCGUGAAGGAAGCAUCGGCUAACUCCGUGCCAGCAGCCGCGGUAAUACGGGGGAUGCAAGCGUUAUUCGGAAUUAUUGGGCGUAAAGGGCGCGCAGGCGGUGGUGUAAGUCAGAUGUGAAAGCCCGGGGCUUAACCUCGGAAGUGCAUUUGAAACUACUCCACUUGAGUACGGGAGAGGAAAGCGGAAUUCCUGGUGUAGAGGUGAAAUUCGUAGAUAUCAGGAGGAACACCGGUGGCGAAGGCGGCUUUCUGGACCGAUACUGACGCUGAGGCGCGAAGGCGUGGGUAGCGAACAGGAUUAGAUACCCGCGUAGUC
rnacentral:rRNA from 1 species